rnacentral:lncRNA from 10 species
UUGACAAAGGAUACCUAUCAAGGCUAUGCAAUUCGUUUUCUUUUCCUGUUCUGACCAUAAACUGCUGUGCCAAAUUUUCAGCACGUUUUGUCCUACAGCUAAGAGAGACGGAAAUCUCUGUAAAUGUGUCCAUGAAGGCUUUCUGAGUUGACGGCUGACUAACCUGAGUCUUCUCAUUUUAUUUCAACUCUUCCAAAGCUGUUGACAGAAGCCAGCCAACUCCAGAAGCUUUAUCAUGACCAGCAACCUCAUACUCAUCAAAUGUGCAUGCUUGAAGUGGAUGGUCACUCCUGUGGAGUUAAAUCCAGGCACAUCCAACUUGUGCCCAACUCAAGAGCUGUGCCUUUCGCCUUCUGCCAUGAUUGUGAGGCCUCCCCAGCCACGUGGAACUAGCCGAUAUCCAAAUUGAUUCUGCCUACUUCAGUCUCAAUGUGUGAAAAUGCUGACAGACAGAAACACCUAAGGCCUCAGCUUCCUCAUGAUUCAUGCAACUUAAAGGAGGUUUCAGGUUCCCAUGAGAUAAAACAGAAGCUAAAGCACUUUCCAGGUCAAAGAAGCAAUCACAAGGGAAAUUAGAAAAUAUCAGAGAUGAAUAAAAAACUUUUUG